rnacentral:rRNA from 1 species
GAUCCUGGCUCAGGAUGAACGCUAGCUACAGGCUUAACACAUGCAAGUCGAGGGGCAGCAUGUCGGUUGCUUGCAACCGAUGAUGGCGACCGGCGCACGAGUGAGUAACGCGUAUCCAACCUACCCUUGUCCAUCGGAUAACCCGUCGAAAGGCGGCCUAACACGAUAUGCGGUUCUCAGCAGGCAUCUAACGAGAACGAAAUGUGAAGGAGAAGGAUGGCGAUGCGUCCGAUUAGCUGGUUGGCGGGGUAACGGCCCACCAAGGCGACGAUCGGUAGGGGUUCUGAGAGGAAGGUCCCCCACAUUGGAACUGAGACACGGUCCAAACUCCUACGGGAGGCAGCAGUGAGGAAUAUUGGUCAAUGGGCGAGAGCCUGAACCAGCCAAGUAGCGUGCAGGACGACGGCCCUAUGGGUUGUAAACUGCUUUUAUAAGGGAAUAAAGUUAGUCUCGUGAGACUUUUUGCAUGUACCUUAUGAAUAAGGACCGGCUAAUUCCGUG